rnacentral:rRNA from 1 species
AGCGAACGCUGGCGGCAGGCUUAACACAUGCAAGUCGAGCGCCCCGCAAGGGGAGCGGUAGCAGGGAGAGUAACACGUGGGAACAUACUUUUUGGUUCGGAACAACUGAGGGAAACUUCAGCUACUACCGGAUAAGCCCUUACGGGGAAAGUUUUAUCGCCGAAAGAGUGGCCUGCGUCUGAUUAGCUAGUUGGUGAGGUAACGGCUCACCAAGGCGAUGAGCAGUAGCUGGUCUGAGAAGAUGAUCAGCCUCACUGGGACUGAGACACGGCCCAGACUCCUACGGGAGGCAGCAGUGGGGAAUGUUGGACAAUGGGGGCAACCCUGAGCCAGCCAUGCCGCGUGAGUGAUGAAGGCCUUAGGGUUGUAAAGCUCUUUUGCCCGGGAAGAUAAUGACGGUACCGGGAGAAUAAGCCCCGGCUAACUUCGUG